UACGAAGGGGGCUAGCGUUGCUCGGAAUCACUGGGCGUAAAGCGCACGUAGGCGGAUUGUUAAGUCAGGGGUGAAAUCCUGGAGCUCAACUCCAGAACUGCCUUUGAUACUGGCGAUCUUGAGUCCGGGAGAGGUGAGUGGAACUGCGAGUGUAGAGGUGAAAUUCGUAGAUAUUGGGAAGAACACCGGUGGCGAAGGCGGCUCACUGGCUCGUUUCUGACGCUCAGGCGCGAUAGCGUGGGGAUCAAACAGG
rnacentral:rRNA from 1 species